UGUCUUGAGAACAGGAACACUGAGAAGGGCUGCUCCUUGACAGGUACACUUGUGCAAAUUCUCUGUGCACAUGCACGUGCAGGAUGAGGACAGCUAGCUGUCAGUGUGUGCCUGACCUCCCACAGCCGUCAUUCCGUGAUGAGAACACUCAAAACCACUCUCUGUCCGAUGUUCAAGAACAUGACAUGUCAUGGUUAACUGUAGUCACCAUGUGACGCGCAGCGGAUCUCCUGGACUCAUUCUUCCAAUCUAACCAGAAAGAGAAGGAGAUCCUGCCAUGACUGAGCCUGGAGGGCAUUCUGCUGAGUAAAACAUCCAGCAUGGGAGCCAGGGAGCAGAACAGUGGCUCCCAGGGACAGGGGCGGCAGCCCUGAGGUGGAGAGAGGCUGGCACGUGAAUUUUUCAAGUUGACAUCAUCUCUUGAAUUCGUGGAAUAUCAGAUAUGGGAGUUCUUUACUGAUUAAAGCUUUGACAUGUAGAUUCUCUUAAGGACAUUUGUCCCUGAAUGCAUUUCGGAUUUCACCAGCCAAUCGCAUGUGUUCCUCCAGCCUCUGCCUCCCUGCAGUUCCGGUUCCGGUUCCCAGCAGAGCUGAUCUUGAAUCUCCUGCUGCAAAGGGAAUCUGCUUCCUACCUCCCGGGCACAGAUCAUCUGCAGGAACAUAGAGAUGUGUGUGGCCUCCUAACAUCUACUUCCAGUUGCAACCAGAUGGCCAUCUUAUUUUGAGGAGAUGAUGGGGAUGGACUUGCCCAGAGCCAAUUGAUCCAGUCAUCAAACAUAUUUGUCACUUGUUUGUUAGAGAGGCUGCCUCCGACCCCAGUCACCUCUGUGCUCAAGCAAGACGAAAAGACUCUGAGUAUCUCUUCAGCGUUUCUCACACGUCUCCUUGGAAGACAGAGAGCCUGCUUGUUCCUGGAAUCCCAUUUCCCUUCCUGCCCCUUCAGCUGUCGCCUCCCGACCCCUGCAUUGUGUCGCAUCUCAAAACAAAGAAACAUCUACAUUUAUCGGUGAGACUCAUAUGUUUCUAUUUUAACUGAAAGUAAGACAGAUGCAUAAAAUUUAACAACAUGAUGCAGUGAAGAGAGAAUAUAAUAGUGCCAACACAUACUGAUAAGAGUUGAGCAAAGCUAAGAAUAUAAGCAUUUGGGACAAAACUAAUAUGAAUUUAUGUCUACCAGGCUGUUUCAUGAUUAGAAAUGGGAUAUUGCUCACCUUGAACUUCUGCCAUUGGUAGAGAAGACUGGAAUAGUUUGAGAGAAAAUUAUAUCAUCCUGGGUUCAAAUUGCCACAGAAUAAAUUGUCUUUGGAUGGAUUCAGUCCUCAUCCUCGUUCUGAAACUGUGAUGGACAGCAGGGAUUUGUCGGUGUUCAAGCAACGCACUCUCUCUGACUUUCAAGUGUGUCAUGUUUCUCUAUAUGGCUUGGAAAUACUAACUCUUGUGUGUUUUUGCUGUUUCUGCAUUUUUUUAAACAAACCAGCACAUCUUAUUUGUAAAUAAAACUGUGUUAUCACAGAUCUAUUUAGUUAUUCUUUUCUGUCUCUGAUAUUCGAAUCAGAGACGGGAGGAGAAACCACAGCCCUAUAGCUUCUGGCUGAAAUUUCUAUUAAAAUGGAAUGAGAUUAAGCCCACAUUGAAUUUGUAUUUAGAUAACCUUGUCACUUUUCAUUACCUAAUUCUAAACAGUUAUGAAUAAGUGAGAGCCCCAGUGCUCCUUCCAGGGUGAUGCCAAUGGAAGGGAAAUCAACAGUGUCUACACCAAAUUGUGUUAUUAUUGCGUGCCUCAGCAGCUAACAGGUUCUAUUUGAGCAGGACUGAUAAGCUAUCCUCAGAUUUUUGGUGGGAUCAAAAUUUAUCAUUAAGACUUCUUUGUUGACCAGUAUGUUAGAAUAACUCUUUUAAUUAAUCUGAACUUUAAUAAUUUGAAAUUUCCAUUCUUCCUUAACAGAAUACAAGUGCUCCUGCCCAACAAGCAGCCCCCAGGGCCUGGGCAGUUAAGGGAUAGCCCUGCAGGCUGCCCAUAAGGACAGAGCUCCCACUCAGCCCUGACCAGGAAUAGCAGGGACAGGAACCAUGGCCAUCUUCAAUGACUGCCCUGUGCUUUGAAAAAUCACCUUUCAGAAGAAUGCACCAUGGCGAGCACAGUCACUGAGAGCAUUUCUUAGCCCUGACCAGUGAGAGUCGGCAUAUCCUAUCCAAAUCUAUUUUCCAAAAUGGCACUAGUUUCUUAAUAUGCUACAACAGAGGCCACCGAACUGUAGCCUACAAGCCAAAUCCCAAUGCAUACUUUGUACCAUAAACUAUGAAUGGUCCUGAUGUUAAAAAGUAAUGGUUUGAAAAUAUCAAAAGAAGAAAAUUUCAUGAUACAUGAAAAUUAUGAAAUCCAGAUUUUGGUCCAUAGCUACAGUUUUAUAGACCCACAGUGACACUUAUUUACAUACUGUCUGAGGACUUUGGACUGCACGGGCAGAGGGCUCCAGCCGGGUAACUGAGUCAGCUUGCACACCAGCUGAGCCCUCUGAGGCUGUCCCAUCUAAACCUGGCUAAGGAUGCCUCAUGUGACAGGCUGAGGUCCAGGCCCAUUCCAGCAGGGUGACUAAUUACGGGUCCCUUUGUGUCACUAUCUGAGAAAAUAUUGCCAAGUGUGGCCACCGACACCUCUGUGGAGGGAUCUCCACUGGCUGGGGAGGCGGUGAGAGUGCCUACCAUUUUUCAAAAUUGUUUUUAAGACAUUUUUCUUAUGACCAGAUGACUUCAUUAUGACUGGAUGAGUAGCACAUCAGAAGGAAACCCAUACGUUAGAGUCGCAGAUACAGCAAGCUAAAGCAAAGAGGAGUCUUGCCACAGGCCCGGACCUCACCUGCCAACCCAGGGUGAAAGCAGCACGGCCCAGCCUCUGGGGGUCACGGUGUUCCAAGUCAACGGCCUGACAGGGACUCCACCCGAGGGUCAUCUUUAACAGUCAUCUCCCAGACUCUUCUGCAACCUCAGCUGUUUCCUCUCCUCAUUAUAAGCCUGAUCCCUCUUCCGUAGCACGACCCACUGUCACAGGACACACCUUCCUUAGCUGCUCCGUAGUCUGGAGACUGGGCGUGCUACGUUCAACCACAAAACCUCCUACGAGGAUUAUGCCGCAGAUGCUCAGAUGUGUCAUUUGAUAUUUUGCUUGGUUUCGUACCUUUUCAGCACCUGUUUCUAAGCAAAACACUAAAAAUGAGCACAAAGACUAAUCAAGGUAGUGCUUUGGGGCAUAGACCGUUUUUUUCUCAGAAGCGCUUUGUUAAUUAACAGAAGAAUCUACAAAUACUUAGAACUUACUCUAUCUCACAAACAUGUGGCACCAAGUAUCACUCAAGGUUAAAAACAAAAUUAUUUCAAAAUACUUCGCUAAGAUGUGGCACAUAAUAUGUAGGAAGAAAGGCUGAAGAAAUGAAAUUAGCCCAUAAUUACUUAGAGCUGAAGAGUCAAGUACUAAAGAAACCUAGCAGAAUAAUGAUGUUCUGAUUGCAGAGUGACUUACUGCUUGAGGCCCUCAAGAGUAAACACUAAACUCUGCAUCUUUAUUUUUGGCUCAAAAAAUGAGGACAAACAGCAUUUCCUUUUGUUAUUUCUGAACCAAUUCCAAUUUGGAACAUGUUACAAGCACCACCAAGGAAAGAGGCCUAAUAUCUAAAGCAGAACAAUAGAAGUUAAAAAUGCACCUGGGAAAUAACAAGGUAAUGUUUAGCCUGGGUAAUUCGAGUUAAUGGAUCUAUAGACCAGCAAUCUGGAUCGCAGUCAGCCAGCAGGGACUGCGGUGGAACCCAGAGCCCUGGUGUUAGAAACGACUGUUAGAUGACAAAAAGAUACGGUUUGCAAUCGGCAGUAGACAAAUCCAGUGUGGCUGACGUUCAGUGCACCUCCAUGACACCGGGUGUGAUAAAAUUUGAAGGGAUGCAGGAGAGCGACUGUCGGGGGAAGAGAAGAAUUUGUUGAGAAGAUAUUUUCAGCCAACCAGAGUGUGCAGGGCACUGCAGCCCCACUGUGAUAGGAAAAAGCCGGCUACAUCGUAGGGGAUGUCUGAUCAAGAGCAUGGUGUUAGGGAAUCACCGUGUGAUUCCAUGCACAUGACAUAGGCACAGAAAAGAAGCAGCUUCCAUGGGAGGCCUGCACUGGAUACUGGAAAGAUGUGAACAGGAAGGGAGAAAAACAAGUUGAUUCAAAGACAGACGGACAGAACCAGAGUUUGAAAUUCAGAAGUGGUACCACUGAACACGUAGGUGUCACGCUAAGUGGUUGUCGCAUUCUGCCUUACUUCCAAUAUGUAGCAGCUUGUUCCCGUUCCCUUUAAUAUCAGUAGGACCAUAGAGCAAGACAGAUGGCACUAAUAGCCCUCAAUGCCAACAUUCAAAAUUCCCUGCCCAACUGUAACAAUAAUGUCCUUUCAAAUUUUAAUAACACCUGUCACCCAGGGGACUCAUGACCCUCCUCGAAUUUCAUUUUGUGCAGUUUUUCCCGUAGGUUGGUUGUCUGUUUUGUUAUUCUCUGCCAAGGAAGAAUCAUUUUGGGUGUGCAAACGGGCUGUUAUUAGGAUUCAACAUUGGUUGACACAAUUUUAAAAGUCUUGUAUAGUAUUUGAACUCACAAUUCCCUACACAUGGGAUUAUAGUGUAUUUUAUUACCAUAUUAAUAUUUACCAGUCUGUAUCUUGGCAAUUAAUGUAUUCAUAGAAGGCAAAAUCUAAAGGUGCUGGGCUGGGGAUGUGGCUCAAGCGGUAGCACACUUGCCUGGCAUGCGUGCGGCCCAGGUUCGAUCCUCAGCACCACAU